UUGGGCGGCGCGGGGCGGGCGCUUGCCGGCCGGGCUCUCGGGGCGGGCGCCGCGGGGGUGGCGCCUCCCGUCAAGGGCCGUGCAGGAGCGGGGCCAUGGCGGCCUGCAUGAGGCUGGGCGCUGCCGGGCUGCCAGCUGUGGGGUUGGGGACCUGGAAGUCCCCGCCAGGGAAGGUGGCAGCUGCGGUGAUGGCUGCUAUCGAGCUGGGUACCGCCACCUGGACUGCGCCUUCGUGUACCAGAACGAGAGCGAGGUUGGGGACGGCAUCCAGAAGAAGAUCAAGGAAGGGGCUGUGAAGCGAGAGGAGCUCUUCGUGGUCAGCAAGCUGUGGUGCACGUUUUUG